UGAAUCCCCCUUUCUCUCAAACUCUCUCAGUCUAUGUUAGAAUCCCUAGCUGCCUCCUUCUACUUCCACCCUAAAAGCCAUUGGAAUCCAUAGCUUCCAGGACCGCUGAAGUCCUACACCGGCCUCUUAUACCUCUUGCACGCUCGGUUAUUAUAGUUUCAAGGCCUUGCCAUGGAAAAGUUUGGCCCAGACUUUGUUUGACUCAAGUUCUAUGGCCGUCUCCGACCUUGCUCCGGCCAACCAUGGCCAUUCGAGCCUAAUCUCGACUUCUCCGACUCAGAUCAGUGACUCUUCCCAGCUUUUCUCACUAUUUGGAUUCUUCUGAAGCCCUAACCCUUUGAGGGUUUUUUAUUCUUUUAGAUCCAUCGUAUAUUUGUGUUUUCUCUAAGUUUUUAAAUAUUUUUCUCAAAGUUCUUUCAAAACUACACCUUCAAAGCUUUCAUCUUUUCCUGAUUUAGGGUUUCAUUAAGUUGUCCUUUAAAGUUUCUCUGAUCUCUAGCAUGUUUUUUGAUAUUUCUUAUGUGUUUCGACUACUGUAUUUCUUAUGUAAUUUCUUCUACUGUAUUUUCAUGUAGUGUCUUCUACUCUAAUGUGUUUCUUCUUCUAAAAGAUGCAUGUUAAAAGUCUCAGUUUCUUUCUGAGAUUUCUGAAGAUAUUUCGUCAGUAUUUUUGCCUUGAUUGCUUGUCCUUUCAUCUCUACACUUGAUUGAUGGAAAACACCCAAAAUUUGGGGUUUCAUUUGAGUAUUGAGACUAUUCGUUAUGUGAUUUGCUUGUUCUUCAUCUCUUAACUUGUUUGAUCUUCGAAACCCUAACUUCUUUGGACCUAUUCGAGUUUCUGAAGAUUAUUUCAUCUACUACUCGAUUGAGUCCCGAAAUCUUUUGUUUCAACCUUAUUUCUUUGUACAUAAUUCUAAGGUCUUUCUACUGGACCAUUUGUAUGCUAUUUGAUAUUCUUUAUCUUAUCCAUUGCUAAAAAUAUCAUGUGACUACCAUGUUCUUAUAGUCUACUACUUUCUGAUUUUUACAAUUGCAUUACAUUUUUUUUGUCUUUUAUAUUAAAAUUCAGCCUCACAUGCUUAACAUUUUGCACUCUUUAUAGGUUAAACUUCUCUCUCAAAAUAACCCUUGAUUAUGGACCGAUUUCAAAUCUCUUUGUAAUUCUGAUUGCACUAUUGUAAUUGAUUUUUUCCUUAUUAUAUUUAUUUCCCUUGUUUCUUGGACUUGUUGGAAUAUUUUCCUUUAAACUUUUGACCCCUACCUUUUCUACUUAAGUUGAUUUUAUCCUCUUACCUUGAUUACAUUGGCAUGAGAUCCUUACAGACCUUUCCUUGAUUAAAGUCUGAUGAACCUAGCCUCUAUUACCUAUAAUGUACUUGUACUAUGCUAGAAAUAUUUACUUAUUGGUCAUAUUCAGCCCUAUAUUAUUUCUUUCCUUACUUAGCACUUUCAUGCUACCCUUUGAUUUAAUUCCUUAAUUAAUGGAAGUCUUUCACACUGAUGUGUUUCUAGCUGACACAUAUUUUCCUAAUUAUUUCUAAACUACAAUCCUUACCUUAUUUUUUGCCUGUUUUCACACUAUAAAUACCUGACUCUUUCAUUGACACAAACACAUGAACACUCAUAGUUUUUUUGAACUUAUACUCAUACUCAAAAGUAUUAUAUCCUAUUAAUUGUGGCAUGUUUGCAAGUCCUGCUGCUUGCUUCUUUCUCUAUUUGUUUUCUUUGAAUUGGUAUUUUCUAAUUAAGAUUCAGCAUCACAACUAUGUGUUUAUUUAACACUUUUUUCCUCCUGGUUGCCUACUUAUGUGUUUAGUUCGGUACUUGUUUAGCAUUUCUCUUUCUACGUAUUCUGCCUCUAUUGUGUAUCCUAAGUAUGUUUGACACUGAUGGUUGUUUGAGGCAUGACAACAUUAAAGUAUUGUUGUCUAUGACUCAAACUUGGUCCCCCUGGGAGAAUAACCUCAUGUUAUCAUUGUAUACUAUAUAUUCUAGUUGGUUUUAGGAGCAUAACAAAAUUCAUUAUUGCUAUGCAUGCCCAGAAUCAACUAAUUCCCAAUCACAACGGCUCUCUACAACCAGUGUCAACCCUUGAAUCCCUUUUAUGUGAAGUUGUUAAUUCUGUAACUAUUUCCCAGCACCCCUUUCCCUUUUCCUUUACUUCCCUGGUUCCUCAAGAUCUGCUUCUACACUUGCACUUUUUCUUAGUCUUUAAGUUCUGACCCCCUCUUGUGAGCCUUGCCUUGGGACACAUUGAGCUCCCUCUGAACUUGGAAACUUGAGGGUUAGCCUUUCCAUAGUGCACUUGUCCCCAUUCUGAUAAUACAAUUUGGGUAUAAGCAUUGCCCGUAGUCCCAUUGAGGCUCUUAUGGAACUUUGACACAAUCUGAUUGGAGAAAGGCUUUGGAUUAGUGGUCUUUGAUAUGGUUUUUCUCAUAUUUCAGACAGGAAGUCUGAAUCAGGCUCUCCUUUGGUUGUACUUUUUAUUACUUUUUUUGAUGAAAUUUUUAUUCAUUCUGGUUUGUAAUAAGUUGUAAGAAACACUUGGGGAUGGUUAGUGAAAAAAUGGUGAGUAACUAUGUAUGUAAAAGGGUAGAUAC
rnacentral:lncRNA from 1 species